rnacentral:rRNA from 1 species
UACGGAGGGUGCAAGCGUUAUCUGGAUUUACUGGGUUUAAAGGGUGCGUAGGCGGGCAGGUAAGUCCGUGGUGAAAUCUCUGAGCUUAACUCAGAAACUGCCAUGGAUACUAUUUGUCUUGAAUAUUGUGGAGGUAAGCGGAAUAUGUCAUGUAGCGGUGAAAUGCUUAGAUAUGACAUAGAACACCAAUUGCGAAGGCAGCUUACUACACAGUUAUUGACGCUGAGGCACGAAAGCGUGGGGAUCAAACAGG